rnacentral:lncRNA from 1 species
AGUAUUCUGCUAGCAGCCUUCAGAUGAGGAUGUAGAACUCUCAGCUCCUGCACCAUGCCUGCCUGGAUGCUGUCAUGUUCCUGCCUUGAUAAUAGACUGAACCUAUACAAGGGCGAGCACAGGCAGAAGCAGAGACGUCUGGGAGAAUCCAGAGUGGACAGGACCAUGACUGACCAACUAGAGCAGCUCUGCCCAAAGCUGGGCUGUGAACUGAAUUGGGCAGAACUGGAAUUUAUGAUUUGAGCACUUCCACACAAACCUCCUUCACACCACCCUGCUCUGCAGUGAAAGUCUAAGAAGCUGAGAGGAACUAAGUCCUGAGAGGGAACCAGUCCCUGAAGCACGUGGUGAGCAUAAGAAAAACAACAAAGCUUCAUCCAGCAUCCACAGCACCAGCACACGUGACUGCUGCAGCGGCCACUGAGAGCGAGAGGGAAAUAUCAGGUGUGGGCUUUCAGCAUUUAGAUCCUGGGGAGGCGCUCUGGCUGCUCUCUCACUGCAGGCUCUUUAUGCCACCAGUCAACAAACAGCAGCCUCUGUUGGAAAGGCUCCUUCGAUGUUCUCAAGGACACAGCGCUAUUUUAAAAUUUCUUCAGCAGUUUUACCGUUUUCCUCUCACUCCUGGACAACAGACCCCGGAAGACACUUGGAAAAAAAUUUGGGUCUGAAAUGGGGGUAUAUAAGCCCAGUUUCUCACCCCGGGGAAGAGUAGGAAGCGGUGGCCACAAGGCAGCCUGAAUGCUGGUUUAUCACUUUGGAAUUCAGCUCCACUCAAGCUUUUCAGGAGAUGGGCAGAAGGCAGCAGCAGAGUCUUUUCCAAACUGUAACACGAGUGCCCGUAGUCGGAUUUCCAAGCCUGUCUGAACCUUGGGAACCUGGGGCUCCAUGUCUCUCUCAGCACUCUGGACUUCUGAACUCCUACCAGAAUAUCUCUUUAAGCCCUAAUUACAGCAUCCACAGCUUCUC